CAUUUUGCUCCGUAUGUAGACCUUUAGUGAAAUUGCUUAAAAGACUUAUAUUUAGGAACGGAGGGAGUAUUUACCAUGUUCAUGUAGAGAUUCUAGAUUAGUUGACUGACACUUAGGGAUAGCUUUAAGUCCAAAUAUUUUCUGGAAGAUGUACAUUGAGGUGAUACAUGACGCAAUAUGCUUGGCUAAUGACUUGUUUGCUGGAUGCUGUUGUGACUUUCCAAUGUAUUGCUUGAACAUCUUUUCUUUCUGCUUACAAGUGAAAGGUAACAACUAACAACAGAAAGUGUACAAGUACUAUUCUUGAUUGAGAAAACAUUUUUAGGAAAACGCGGAAAACAUCUACUGGCAAAUAACAAGCGAGAUCUUUCCUUUAUACUCCCUCCCUACGAAAUUACUUGUCGCAGAAAUGGAUAAAAAUGGAUGUAUCUAGAACUAAAAUAUGUCUAGAUACAUCGAUUUCUCCAACAAGUAUUUCGGACGGAGGGAGUAGUUUUUAAGCUUGAACAGUUUAAAUGUUUGGUGUCAAAAAGGUUAGGGGAAAUAAAUACAUUUCUUGAUCAUAUUACGUUGGUAUGUGCAGAAUAAAUAAAUUGCUGAUGAUAUGAUAGCAGUUAGUGCCUUCUAAGGUGUAGUUUUGGUGUGUGGCACAGUGUUGUUGAUUGGGGUAAGGCAAACCCCUCAUAUCUGACAAAAGAUAUAUAAAGAUCUGAGUUGUUGGCGGCCCAUUCACCCUCAUAGAUUACCUCUUAAGUCGGCAAGAAAUUAGUUACUGCAAUUAUCAUACAUUCUAUGUAGCAGACAUAUGUAUGGCGUUCUCAUAUUUUGUUGAUUUGUUUGAUGCAUCCUUAUUUAUUCUUACUUGCACAAAGUUAGAGACUAUGAUGACACAAACGUUUAACCAACUCAUGCAAUAAAAGAAAUUUCUUAGCAAUGCACUAACAUAUAUUCUCUGUAGCAUUGCACGAGUAUUUAUCUAGUCUAACAAAACAUUGCUAUUAUGCUUCUUAGCAGAAGUUAACAAAUAACCAAGCAGGUGAAAUUAGUCUGGUGAAUUAGUUUCUCUGAAAGGUACCAUCUUAGACAUGCAUGAAUUACGAUAGCUUUGUUCUAUAGUUAGUUACUUACUUUCCGCAUAUAAAAUUUACUAAGAUUAUGUGCUCUAGGAUAGGUAAGAUCGGCUAAAUGGACCGCGAAUUUGGUUGGCGGCUAGAUCACAGUACUAUCUCACCAUAGGUUUUGCUCCUAAUCUUCUCAUUGAUGCUUCAGUAUGCUGCAAGUUAUCUUUGAGGAGUUGCUAUGAAACACUAUACUAUUGAUUUCACAAGCUGAUACUGACAGGGUCCUUACAAUAUAUUUUCGCGCCCAUAAUAGUAAAUUUAACAAUUUCAGUCAUAUAAUUCAAGAUAUUAUUAUCCUCUAUUUUGUUGUAUGUGUAUAAUUGGACUGCUAGUUACAUGCGGUUGAUGCAGCAUUCAUUUAUUCACUGAGAAAUGCUAUAUGGGUUAUGUGGUAGAGGCGUAAAGUUGCAAAAUCGAUCACAAGACAUCUACGUUUGAGAAGUGAAUCACAUAGUUGGCAGGAAAGCAGGAUCUCCUUUUCAGGUUGUUCAUGCAGCACAAGCAAUCUCACAUUGCUCAUCCCCUGAAACCCAAGCAGAUGCACAUGGAAAUGAUGGCUAGGAAGCAGAAGCAUACAUCACCCAGCCUUCAAGAUCCCAGGGCCAAGGAACUAAUAUAGAUCGAAAGAAGUCCACAUAACCCACUGGAGUUUCAGAACCAGGGUGGUUUAGCCUACGUGGCUCUGGUCGAUUGCCAGGUGGGCUUGGUGGCAGGCGCGAUGCGAUAUGAAGAUGGCGCCGGAAGUUUCACCUAAUCCCUAGUUUCUCCUCCCUUGUUCGUCGCCAUGCCCGCCAGCUGAAGCUCGUCCUCCCCUGUUCCCCCCCAAUCUCCAUUAUUGUAGGAUCAGGAAGCGCCCCGGACAGGCGAGGAGUCCAGGACGGCCCUCGCCAUGGUUCAAAGGAGCAGCGUAAGUUCGUCUUGGGGUCCCUGUUAGACAGAAAUAUCAGAAGCAUUUUCAGAUACCCAUGAAGGUUAAUUUUCCAUGCUGUAGCGGAGCAGCUUAAGUAGGAGCUUGAUGUGCUGGUUGUUUUGAGUUGUAUUUCAGCCGGGGAAACAUGUGGUAGCUGGAGUCUUGCAGUGUAGUUUUUGUAUUGUAGUUGUGCCUGUGCUAGCGCCUUUCUGUAAUAGCUGGAGUUGGCUCGUUUAUGUCUUUUGUUUUUUUCUCGUUUAUGCUGGUGAUGCACUGUAAUUUGCUGAAGGAUACUGUUUAUCAGUUUUCACAAUGAAUGGAAGUUGGGACAGUGCUCCUUAAUUUGAAAAAAGGAUAUCCAUGAAGUAUAGUUGAAAACAUG